CAGACCACCAGCUAAGGUCCCAAAAUAUAUGUUAAGUGGAAAAGGAUGUGGCGUUGCCCAGACAACUAGGAUGUUGGCUUAGAAGCAGCCAUCAUUUAAAGAGUGCGUAAUAGCUCACUAGUCGAGUGACACUGCGCCGAAAAUGUACCGGGGCUAAACAUAUUACCGAAGCUGUGGAUUGUCCUUUGGACAAUGGUAGGAGAGCGUUCUAAGGGCGUUGAAGCAUGAUCGUAAGGACAUGUGGAGCGCUUAGAAGUGAGAAUGCCGGUGUGAGUAGCGAAAGACGGGUGAGAAUCCCGUCCACCGAUUGACUAAGGUUUCCAGAGGAAGGCUCGUCCGCUCUGGGUUAGUCGGGUCCUAAGCUGAGGCCGACAGGCGUAGGCGAUGGAUAACAGGUUGAUAUUCCUGUACCACCUAUAAUCGUUUUAAUCGAUGGGGGGACGCAGUAGGAUAGGCGAAGCGUGCGAUUGGAUUGCACGUCUAAGCAGUAAGGCUGAGUAUUAGGCAAAUCCGGUACUCGUUAAGGCUGAGCUGUGAUGGGGAGAAGACAUUGUGUCUUCGAGUCGUUGAUUUCACACUGCCGAGAAAAGCCUCUAGAUAGAAAAUAGGUGCCCGUACCGCAAACCGACACAGGUAGUCAAGAUGAGAAUUCUAAGGUGAGCGAGCGAACUCUCGUUAAGGAACUCGGCAAAAUGACCCCGUAACUUCGGGAGAAGGGGUGCUCUUUAGGGUUAACGCCCAGAAGAGCCGCAGUGAAUAGGCCCAAGCGACUGUUUAUCAAAAACACAGGUCUCUGCUAAACCGUAAGGUGAUGUAUAGGGGCUGACGCCUGCCCGGUGCUGGAAGGUUAAGAGGAGUGGUUAGCUUCUGCGAAGCUACGAAUCGAAGCCCCAGUAAACGGCGGCCGUAACUAUAACGGUCCUAAGGUAGCGAAAUUCCUUGUCGGGUAAGUUCCGACCCGCACGAAAGGCGUAACGAUUUGGGCACUGUCUCAACGAGAGACUCGGUGAAAUCAUAGUACCUGUGAAGAUGCAGGUUACCCGCGACAGGACGGAAAGACCCCGUGGAGCUUUACUGUAGCCUGAUAUUGAAAUUCGGCACAGCUUGUACAGGAUAGGUAGGAGCCUUUGAAACGUGAGCGCUAGCUUACGUGGAGGCGCUGGUGGGAUACUACCCUAGCUG
rnacentral:rRNA from 1 species